UGAGUAACACGUAUCCAACCUGCCGUCUACUCUUGGCCAGCCUUCUGAAAGGAAGAUUAAUCCAGGAUGGCAUCAUGAGUUCACAUGUCCGCAUGAUUAAAGGUAUUUUCCGGUAGACGAUGGGGAUGCGUUCCAUUAGAUAGUAGGCGGGGUAACGGCCCACCUAGCCAACGAUGGAUAGGGGUUCUGAGAGGAAGGUCCCCCACAUUGGAGCUGAGACACGGUCCAA
rnacentral:rRNA from 1 species